rnacentral:lncRNA from 1 species
CUGAGGUCGGGAAGGACGGACGGAGAGUGGAUCCUCCAGGUGGUGGGAAAAGCUUAACAGCCUGGUGCCAGUUACCCUGCGAUGGGAGAGGGGGCAGCCCCCAUAGAAGCACGGGCUUAUGGGACCCGGGUUCCUUCAGUGCUCACCCACGAAGAAGGGCUCCCAAACGGCCCCACUCGACGGCUCACCGGAGGAUGGUCCUGCGCAGUGGGUGUUUGUUGAACAGAUAAGAGACAACAAAACAGACUAAGAAGAGGCCUGUUCUAUGAACCGGGGAAAGUGAAGGAAUCACAAAGAGCGGCUCGCCUUAGGGCAAUCCUGGGGAAAAGAUGGAGAGGCAUGGAUUUUUCUUGGAUGUGUGCCUCAUCCUGGGGCUCAUCCCUCUGAGCAUCAAAUAUUCAUUGCAAAAGAGGGGGAAAAACUCUGCUGCGGACAAUGCUGGAUGGUCUGAUCUCUCCCUUGGCCAGAAUUAACGGGGCAAUUCCUAACCCCUGUUGGUCCUCAGAAUCACCUGGCCUAUGCACACUCCCGCUAAACCACUGAAGUCCAAUUUCUGGGAGCUCAGCCAGGGAAUGUGUAUUUUUAAACAAGCCCCCUAGGUUACUCUGAUAAGUGCAAAGUCAGAGAGCGCUGCUCUCAUGCACUGAGCCUGAGCACUCUUCUAUUAAUAAAAAAGGAGAGGAGAAUCCUGGGUUGGGUGCCCUUCGCCUUCUGGCGGCAGAAGAGCAGAGCCAGGCUCUAAGCACCUGCACCCACCGCUGGGCUCAGGAGCUGCGCUGGAGAAUAGAAGGGCUAAUUUAGUCAUUCAUGCCUUUUUAGAGCAAAUUACAUGUGGAGAGGGUGGGGCACACUGAAUUUUAUUUUAGCCAAAUGCCCCUUAUCUCCUUAUGCAAUUGAUAUUUUUAUAUUGAACAUUAGAGGAUUGGUCAUUUGUCAUCAAGUCGUCUGUAAUACAGAAAACGAUAAAUACAACCUAACAGUUCAAACAUGACGAGUUAAAU